AAUGAACGUUGGCGGCGUGGAUUAGGCAUGCAAGUCGAGCGAGAACCCCGCAAGGGGGGACAGCGGCGAAAGGGACAGUAAUGUGUAGAUUAUCUGCCCUCAGGUCCGGGAUAGCUGCGGGAAACUGCAGGUAAUACCGGAUAACAUCUCCGGAUCAAAGGUGUGAUUCCGCCUGAGGAUGAGUCUGCAUCCUAUUAGCUAGUUGGUGGGGAAUGGCCUACCAAGGCAUUGAUGGGUAGCAGGUGUGAGAGCACGACCUGCGUCAUUGGGACUGAGACACUGCCCAGACACCUACGGGUGGCUGCAGUCGAGAAUCUUCGGCAAUGGGCGCAAGCCUGACCGAGCGACGCCGCGUGUGGGAUGAAGGCCUUCGGGUUGUAAACCACUGUCAGAGGGGAUGAAAUGCAGGUGGGUUCUCCCAUCUGUUUGACAUAGCCUCAGAGGAAGGACGGGCUAAGUUCGUG
rnacentral:rRNA from 1 species